GAUGAACGCUGGCGGCGUGCCUAAUACAUGCAAGUCGAGCGAACAGACGAGGAGCUUGCUCCCCUGACGUUAGCGGCGGACGGGUGAGUAACACGUGGAUAACCUACCUAUAAGACUGGGAUAACUUCGGGAAACCGGAGCUAAUACCGGAUAAUAUAUUGAACCGCAUGGUUCAAUAGUGAAAGACGGUUUUGCUGUCACUUAUAGAUGGAUCCGCGCCGCAUUAGCUAGUUGGUAGGGUAACGGCUUACCAAGGCAACGAUGCGUAGCCGACCUGGGAGAGUGAUCGGCCACACUGGAACUGAGACACGGUCCAGACUCCUACGGGAGGCAGCAGUAGGGAAUCUUCCGCAAUGGGCGGAAGCCUGACGGAGCGACGCCGCGUGAGUGAUGAAGGUCUUCGGAUCGUAAAACUCUGUUAUUAGGGAAGAACAAAUGUGUAAGUAACUAUGCACGUCUUGACGGUACCUAAUCAGAAAGCCACGGCUAACUACGUG
rnacentral:rRNA from 1 species